AUGCCGGGCCAGGUGGGCUCGGGCGUUGAACGGCUCCACGGGAGCAGCAGCAUGCGGCGCAUCCAGUCGGGCUCGGGCAGCGCCCCGGCGCCGGACGCACGCGCUGGCCUCCGGCAAGAUGGACAUGGUGAUGGAAGUGCACCCUAUCUUAAUAGGGUGAGCAUUGAUGAUGCCAGAAGGAGGGAAAAUGUCAACCCCGACAAUGAAGAUGGCAUUCUGAUGGGUAAUGAUUCAGCUCCAAGAGAGACAACUUGGAAAGGUCAAUAG
rnacentral:rRNA from 1 species